UCAGGCCUAACACAUGCAAGUCGAACGGCAGCACGGACUUCGGUCUGGUGGCGAGUGGCGAACGGGUGAGUAAUGUAUCGGAACGUGCCUAGUAGCGGGGGAUAACUACUCGAAAGAGUAGCUAAUACCGCAUACGCCCUACGGGGGAAAGGGGGGGAUCGCAAGACCUCUCACUAUUAGAGCGGCCGAUAUCGGAUUAGCUAGUUGGUGAGGUAAAGGCUCACCAAGGCGACGAUCCGUAGCUGGUUUGAGAGGACGACCAGCCACACUGGGACUGAGACACGGCCCAGACUCCUACGGGAGGCAGCAGUGGGAAAUUUUGGACAAUGGGGGCAACCCUGAUCCAGCCAUUCCGCGUGUGCGAUGAAGGCCUUCGGGUUGUAAAGCAAUGUUGGCAGGAAAGAAAUCGCACGGGAUAAUACCUCGUGUGG
rnacentral:rRNA from 1 species